rnacentral:rRNA from 1 species
UUGAUUUAUAUAUAAAGUCUGACCUGCCCACUGAAAAUUUUAAAUGGCUGCAGUAAUUUGACUGUACAAAGGUAGCAUAAUCAUUAGUUUUUUAAUUAAAAGCUCGUAUGAAAGGUUGGACGAAGUAAAAUCUGUCUCUUUUUAAUAUAAUUAGAAUUUAAUUUUUAAGUAAAAAAGCUUAAAUUUUUAUAAAAGACGAGAAGACCCUAUAGAGUUUAAUAAUUUUAAUAAAAUAUUUAAUUAAGAUUUAUUAAUUUUAUUUAAUUAAAAUUAUUUUAUUGGGGUAAUAAAAAGAUUAAAAAAAUUCUUUUUUUUUAAUACAUUAAUUUAUGAAUAUAUGAUCCAUUUGUAGUGAUUAAAAGAUUAAAUUACCUUAGGGAUAACAGCGUAAUUUUUUUAAAGAGUUCUUAUCGAUAAAAAAGUUUGCGACCUCGAUGUUGGAUUAAAGAUUAAUUUAGGUGUAGAAGUUUAAAUUUUUGGUCUGUUCGACCAUUAAAUCUUUACAUGAUCUGAGUUCAAACCGGUGUAAGCCAGGUUGGUUUCUAUCUUUAUUAAUUUUUUAUAUUUUAGUACGAAAGGACCAAAUAUAAAAUAUAUAAAUAUUUUUAUUUUGAAUAUUAUUAAAUUAGUUAUUUUGGCAGAUUAGUGUAAUGAAUUUAGAAUUCAUUUAUGUAAAUAUUUUACAAAUAAUACUUGUUUAUAAAAGAUAUAAUUAUUUCUUUUAUUUUAAUUAUUUUAUUAAUUAUUUGUGUUUUAGUAGGUGUAGCUUUUUUAACUUUAUUAGA